AUUGAGCGCUGGCGGCAGGCCUAACACAUGCAAGUCGAACGGUAACAGGGAUCAGCUUGCUGAUUCGCUGACGAGUGGCGGACGGGUGAGUAAUGUCUGGGAAACUGCCUGAUGGAGGGGGAUAACUACUGGAAACGGUAGCUAAUACCGCAUAACGUCGCAAGACCAAAGAGGGGGACCUUCGGGCCUCUUGCCAUCGGAUGUGCCCAGAUGGGAUUAGCUAGUAGGUGGGGUAACGGCUCACCUAGGCGACGAUCCCUAGCUGGUCUGAGAGGAUGACCAGCCACACUGGAACUGAGACACGGUCCAGACUCCUAUGGGAGGCAGCAGUGGGGAAUAUUGCACAAUGGGCGCAAGCCUGAUGCAGCCAUGCCGCGUGUAUGAAGAAGGCCUUCGGGUUGUAAAGUACUUUCAGCGGGGAGGAAGGGAGUAAAGUUAAUACCUUUGCUCAUUGACGUUACCCGCAGAAGAAGCACCGGCUAACUCCGUG
rnacentral:rRNA from 1 species